GAUGAACGCUGGCGGCGUGCCUAAUACAUGCAAGUCGAGCGAACGGACGAGAAGCUUGCUUCUCUGAUGUUAGCGGCGGACGGGUGAGUAACACGUGGAUAACCUACCUAUAAGACUGGGAUAACUUCGGGAAACCGGAGCUAAUACCGGAUGAUAUUUUGAACCGCAUGGUUCAAAAGUGAAAGACGGUCUUGCUGUCACUUAUAGAUGGAUCCGCGCUGCAUUAGCUAGUUGGUGAGGUAACGGCUUACCAAGGCAACGAUGCAUAGCCGACCUGAGAGGGUGAUCGGCCACACUGGAACUGAGACACGGUCCAGACUCCUACGGGAGGCAGCAGUAGGGAAUCUUCCGCAAUGGGCGAAAGCCUGACGGAGCAACGCCGCGUGAGUGAUGAAGGUCUUCGGAUCGUAAAACUCUGUUAUUAGGGAAGAACAUAUGUGUAAGUAACUGUGCACAUCUUGACGGUACCUAAUCAGAAAGCCACGGCUAACUACGUG
rnacentral:rRNA from 1 species